GUUUCCGUGGUGUAGCGUUUAUCACGUGUGCUUCACACGCACAAGGUCCCCGGUUCGAUCCCGGGCGGGAACA
rnacentral:tRNA from 1 species